rnacentral:rRNA from 1 species
CCUACGGGUGGCUGCAGUGGGGAAUAUUGGACAAUGGGGGGAACCCUGAUCCAGCCAUGCCGCGUGUGUGAAGAAGGCCCUCGGGUUGUAAAGCACUUUCAGUGAGGAAGAACGCCUGGUGGUUAAUACCCAUUAGGAAAGACAUCACUCACAGAAGAAGCACCGGCUAACUCCGUGCCAGCAGCCGCGGUAAUACGGAGGGUGCGAGCGUUAAUCGGAAUUACUGGGCGUAAAGCGCGCGUAGGUGGCUUGAUAAGCCGGUUGUGAAAGCCCCGGGCUCAACCUGGGAACGGCAUCCGGAACUGUCAAGCUAGAGUGCAGGAGAGGAAGGUAGAAUUCCCGGUGUAGCGGUGAAAUGCGUAGAGAUCGGGAGGAAUACCAGUGGCGAAGGCGGCCUUCUGGACUGACACUGACACUGAGGUGCGAAAGCGUGGGUAGCAAACAGGAUUAGAUACCCGUGUAGUC